GGCUCAGUGGUCUAGUGGUAUGAUUCCUGCUUCGGGUGCAGGAGGCCCCGGGUUCGAAUCCCGGCUGAGCCC